rnacentral:rRNA from 1 species
UACGUAGGGGGCUAGCGUUGUCCGGAAUCAUUGGGCGUAAAGAGCGUGUAGGCGGCCCGGUACGUCCGCUGUCAAAGUCAAAGGCUCAACCUUUGAAUGUCAGUGGAUACUGCCGGGCUAGAGUCCGGAAGAGGCGAGUGGAACUCCUGGUGUAGCGGUGGAAUGCGCAGAUAUCAGGAAGAACACCAACGGCGAAGGCAGCUCGCUAGGACGGUACUGACGCUGAGACGCGAAAGCGUGGGGAGCGAACAGG